rnacentral:rRNA from 1 species
CCUACGGGAGGCAGCAGUAGGGAAUAUUGGUCAAUGGAUGCAAGUCUGAACCAGCCAUGCCGCGUGCAGGAAGAAGGCCUUCUGGGUUGUAAACUGCUUUUGCCAGGGGAUAAAAAGCCCAUGCGUGGGAACUUGAAGGUACCUGGUGAAUAAGCCACGGCUAACUACGUGCCAGCAGCCGCGGUAAUACGUAGGUGGCAAGCGUUGUCCGGAUUUAUUGGGUUUAAAGGGUGCGUAGGCGGUCUAUUAAGUCAGUGCUGAAAUAUCCCGGCUUAACCGGGAGGGUGGCAUUGAUACUGAUGGACUUGAGUGCAGUCGAGGUAGGCGGAAUUGACGGUGUAGCGGUGAAAUGCUUAGAUAUCGUCAAGAACACCGAUAGUGAAGACAGCUUACUAGGCUGUAACUGACGCUGAGGCACGAAAGUGUGGGGAUCAAACAGG